rnacentral:rRNA from 1 species
ACUCCUACGGGAGGCAGCAGUAGGGAAUCUUCCGCAAUGGGCGAAAGCCUGACGGAGCAACGCCGCGUGAGUGAAGAAGGUCUUCGGAUCGUAAACUACUGUUAUUAGGGAAUGAAGCAAAUGAUGUAGUAACUAUGCACGUCUUGACGGUACCUAAUCAGAAAGCCACGGCUAACUACGUGCCAGCAGCCGCGGUAAUACGUAGGUGGCAAGCGUUAUCCGGAAUUAUUGGGCGUAAAGCGCGCGUAGGCGGUUUUUUAAGUCUGAUGUGAAAGCCCACGGCUCAACCGUGGAGGGUCAUUGGAAACUGGAAAACUUGAGUGCAGAAGAGGAAAGUGGAAUUCCAUGUGUAGCGGUGAAAUGCGCAGAGAUAUGGAGGAACACCAGUGGCGAAGGCGACUUUCUGGUCUGUAACUGACGCUGAUGUGCGAAAGCGUGGGGAUCAAACAGGAUUAGAUACCCUGGUAGGAUAGCGU